rnacentral:rRNA from 1 species
GACAGAGGUGCCGAGCGUUAGGCGGAAUCACUGGGCUUAAAGCGUGUGUAGGCGGAUCGUUAAGUACCUUGUGAAAUCCCACGGCUCAACCGUGGAACUGCUGGGUAUACUGGCGGUCUUGAGCCACCUAGGGGCGAGCGGAACAAGCGGUGGAGCGGUGAAAUGCGUAGAUAUCGCUUGGAACGCCAACGGUGAAAACAGCUCGCUGGGGGUGUGCUGACGCUGAUACACGAAAGCCAGGGGAGCGAACGGG